AUUAGUGCCCUUAUAAGUAGAGGAAAAAAACAUCAGAGUGUCGCUCUCUCCUUCUCUCUCCCCUGUGCCCUGCCUCCAGACCUCUGACUAUGUGAAGAUACGGUGGGAAGAUGACUGUCCGACUGUCCGCAAGACAGGAAGAGAGCCCUCACCGAGGAACCAAAUUGGUCGGUAUCUUGAUCUUGGAUUUCUCAGCCUCAAGAACCAUGAGAAAUGAAUGUCUGUUGUUCAAGCCACCCAGUCUAUGGUAUUUUGUUAUGGCAGCCCCAGCUGACCAAGAGAGUGCAUAUGAAUUUAAUGAGCAUUGAGAAGAGCUAAUGUUUUUCAUUUUUUCCCUUAGAAGCAUCUAUUGAUCUUCAUUUGAAAUUAUGUGUCAGAAACUGCAAUAAUAGAAAUAAAGAGAAUGGGCUAGGUAAUGUAAGAAUAGGGCUAAGGUUAUGUAAGUGAGGAAGAGUUUCGAGAGAGGAAUUUCAGUAGCCUUUAAAAUUUUAAAUAAAAUACACUCUAUAAACCAAAUGCAUUAGUUAAGGAGCUGUGUACAUCAGUUUCUCCUUAUAAAGAUUGCAUAUACCUUUUACUUAACAUCUUGGACAAGUCAGGAAUGAUUCCUUUCCUCCAGGGUGUCCUGUGGAAUAUCUACCUUGUCUCUCUCAACAUAGAGGAACUAUCGACCAUUUUCCAUUAAAUAGCCUAGAAUCAGGUGUGUUUCAGAAUCACGUGUAUAUAUGUACAUGGUGGUUGGAUGUGGGUGGAUUCGGAAGGACUUGUUAAGAUGCCCAUGCCUGAAUUCCUCCCAGAUCCACUAAAUCAGAAUUGUCAUCUGUGGUGCCCAAAUUACCUAAGUUAAAAACCACUCCAAGUGCUUCUGAUACAUACCAGACUUGACAUCCAUAGACCAAUGUUCUCAUUCAUUGAUACACGUAUUCAAGUUUACUACCUAGGCAGAUCUUUCUAUAGGUUAUAUAUGUGAGUUUAAAAAUGGGUACAUUUAAUUUUUAUAAAUGGAAAUCCAUUUAAGACAUUUUGGGCCAAUGGUUUUGAGGAGAGCUCAUUAGCAUACCAGCUGGGCUACCCCAUUCCCUCAUUGCACACCUUCCUUCUGCCUUUGCCAUAGGUUGCUUAGUUUCUUAGUCUGCCUGUCUGGUCUGAGUUAGAAAGAAAAAUGGGCAUCUCACAGUUCCUAGCAAUUUAUUUUGCAAAAGAAUGCAGUAGAGAUUUCUAUUUUAAUGUAAAAAAAUCCUUUGAGUAAAUAGUUUUCCCUCUCUCCAAUAUAUUUUCUUAUUAUUCUGUAUAUUUAAUAAUGGGAUUAUAUGUUAUAAACACAUGCUUAGACAUCCAAAUAUAUGCACAGAUGGAAAAUAUCAAGCUUGCAGGAAAGGUCCAUCCCCCAAACACAAUUUUAAGCGGUUUUGCCUUUGUUUUCUCUAAGGAAUACAAAAGUCAGACUUGAAAAAAGGAGGUUUAGGGAAUUCUGUCACUAGUUUCCUAAUUUCCACCAAAUGCUAAUUCUGAUGUUGUUUUUUUGAUUUUUAGUGGCCUUUAGAGAAUUCUUGGGGUUGGGGGUGGGUAGGAAGCGGAUUGAGGAUGGGGGAGAGUUCCUAUCUGAUGUCUAACCAAUGAAUUGUUAGAUAAACUAGUCAUGUAGAAAACAGCUUGAUUUAUCUAAGAGAGAUAAUAGUGACUCCCAGGAUCCAGCCUGCCCUGUAACAACCCAGAGGACUUCUUUCCUGAGGUUUACAGAAUACACUGAUUGGUCAAUCAACUAGAUGUAGUAAAUAUGUAAAAAUUAUAUUCCAAAAAUUUUGUAAAAAUUGUAAAAUAAGUACAUAUUUUUGGAAGAGUAUGUGGGGAAAAAGUAAUGCAGAGGAAAAAAAAGAAGGGAGAAAAUAUGGGCCAAGGUGCUGCUUUCAGAAUCAGACACAUGUGGAUUAGAUUCCAGUGUUAGUUGUUGUAUGCCCUUGGGUAGUUAUGUCACAUUUCUAAGCCAAUGUUGUCAUCUGUUAAAUGGGAACAAUAUCUCUCUCACAUGGCUAUGGUAAGGGUUUGCUAAAGUAUUUAUUUUACUUUCUGUAAAAGGAUUUAGAAAAAUGCCUGAUAUACAGUAGCUGCUAACACAAUACAUCUGAGAUAAUAGUAUUACAUUGCUGGCAGCAGAGAGUGGUAGCUACUAAGUAUAUUUUUUUCUUGACAUGCAGUCCUGACUUUGAACCCCUUUUGGUUUGAGGCAGAAUUACUGCUAUUGGCAUUUCUAGCACUAAGUCUACAUGAUAUUUUAAAGAAUUUGUUGAGAGCUCUUAAAUUAUUACUAUUAUUAUCAAGAAAUAGAUUUGUUAUGUCUGUUUUCAUGAUUUAUUAACUGAAAUUCUGUAAUCCUUGCCUUAAGCUUACAAGUGUUCUUAGUUUGAUUUUUAAAAUACCCUCAGAAACCAUUAAUGUUCACAAGAAGUAAGAAAUCUUUGCAAUAAUAUUUCAUUGUAUCAUCAUACUUUUUCUUUCCUGAAAAACCAAUGAAGAAUGGCAGUUUUAUAUGUAAAACAGUAGUUAGCCUUUAUAUGGAUGACAUUUUCCUAAAAGCCUAGAAAAAUUUCACAUUUUCAGAAAAAUACUCUGUUCCCAUAUUAAAUCUGAUUAAAAUUCAAAUCUAUAUUAACAUCUCAUUACUUUUUGAAAAAAGUGAAUGCCACACUUAAUGGAAAAUGCUCACUGUCUGUCCUCACUGCUUUUGUGGGCUUCUUAGCAAGGCUGUACUGGGAUCCAGGAGGGCUGGACCACAGCUACAUCCUUGUUAAAACAGUCACCCGGCAUGAAUGUUGGCCUUUAGUUUUUCCUUCCUUUCCCCUCUCCCAUCCCUACAUUGUUUCAGCUGCCAGCUCCCUAAUAUUUUUUUCUGAAGCAAGGGAAAGGGAAGGGCAAAAAUGACUUAGAAAGAAUAACAUUUCUUUCUAAGGACUUAAAUAGAACAUUCAACACAAAACAUCCUGUGUUUUCUUUUAGUUGAUGACACAUUGACUGUAGGAAUGAAUGAACUAAAAACCAGGGCUUGAUUUUCAAAUGGGGGUUAUUUUAAUUGCAUACUACCUGAUCAAGAGAAAGUUGUUCAACUAUUUUAAAUUAUAACCUGUUGGUUUCUCCUCUGUACUCCUGAUCUCCUUAUCUUGCUGUGCGUUUCUUUUCUCCAUUUUACAUAUCACCUUCUAACAUGUGUUUAUUAUGUUUUUUGUUUAUUUUCCCACUCUCCUGGCCAUGAUGGAAGUCCAUGAGAGCAAGCAUCUUUGUCCGUUUGGCUCACUGUUGGAUUCCCUGUUUUAAAAAUAUCACCCGGCCCAGCAAAAAGUUUGGAAACCUUCACCUAGAAAGUGGUCUAGCAAAGUGUGGUCCAUGGAUGAGUUUGAUCUGCAAACUGCUUGUUAUUGGUUCAUGACAAGGUGUCAGAAGGAGGCUGGCAAAUUUGGCACUCACAGAGGGAAACCUAUGUGCUUCGUGAGGUCAUUGCUUAGAGUACAACUGCUACCAAGAACAUUCCCUGCAAACUCUUUUGUGAUCAGUUUCUUCCCUUCUCUCAUAUACCCUCUGCAGGUCCACCAAUUGCAUUUUGAGAGCUCAGAUAAGCAGAGAGCAAUGCAAUUUGUCACGGAAGGAUGAUUAUGUAUAUGCACUGUCAUGUGUAUGUAUGUGUAUGUAUAUACGGUAUGUGUGUAUAUGCAUAUAUAUAUAUACAGUAUGUGUAUUUCAUUUGUUCUUUUAUCUUAUCCUUCAAUAUGUAUUUAUUGAUAAUUUAUUAUGAGAGGCUGAGAAUACCAAGUUAAUUAUAAUUUAUUAUAAUAAUAGCUACCAUUUAUCAAGAACAUAUUGCAUAUCAACAUUAUGCUAAAUAUUUUAUAUACAUAUAUUUUAAUGCAUUUAGUCACUUAAAAAGCUUUAUGAAAUAGCCCCAUUUUAGACAUUAGUAAACCGAGUUCCAGAAAACUCAAGGGCACGCAGCUAGUUAAUGUCAGAGCUAGGAUCCGCAUUCAGAUCUGUUUGAUGCAAAACCCAUUCUGUUAAUCACUUUGUUAAAUUGCCUUCCCAAAGAUGAAUAACAUGAUACAAAGGCAUUUACCUACUUUCUUGGAUUCACAAUCUGGUUGGCAAGAAAGGCAUAUGAUGCAGAACAUAAAAGACUAUAAUACAGCUAUGUACAAAAUACCAUGAUUAACUCGUUCUCUUGCGGGGUGGGAGAAGGUGGAAGAGGGUAGAGGAAGGCCUCAUAGGGCAAGUUGUGCUUGAGCUAUGCCUCUGGGGUAUGGGAUACUCACGCAGCAGAGAGAGAAAAGGUGGAGACUGGAGAGGAGAGAGAGAGAGAGAGAAGGGGGGGGACGGAGGGAGAGAGAGAUUUCAGCUGGGUGUGACUUUGUUUUGUAGGAUGAGACGUAGACUUGUUCAGGUGCAAAGAGACAUCUGGAACUAGUUAGUGGGAAGUUCUUCAAGGCUGUUUCUCCACUGAACAAGCCCAUAUAUUUUUCCUCUUUGUUCUCCUUUAGCUAUUUCCGUGCCUAACUCAAAGGAGACACAGGGAGAAAGUGAGCUCAGCCUGGGUAAAUUGGAGGUUGUGAUGACUUCUAGGAAGCCUCAGGAAAGAGAAACAAAGACAACACUGGCCUGCUGCUCUCUGCAAUGGUGGGACCCUUGUGGGAUAACUGUUUUAGGAAUGAAGGUGUCUACCCUCUCUAGAAAUGAAAAUGCAAGUUUGGCUGUGGUUAAGUAUUGGAUGGAGGCAAAAAGAAACUGACAUAUUUGCUUCUUUUCAAUUGUUUGAUUCACCCUGAAGGGCAUGGCUGUCUAAUUUUUUUCUCCAGAGAUAGGUGGACAGAUAAAGACAGGAAAGUAACAUCCACAGACUGCCCUCUGUGAAGGUGACAGUGAUGAAAGGAAUGCUUGAUCUGAACACUGGUAAAUAAAGUGACCACAUAUUUCCCUAGCCAGGAGAGCAAUCUGGCUCAAAAGAAACGAGAACAAUGACAUUACUGCCAGGCUGCUCCUAAGCCUUUGGCUAUUCUGUUCAGUGCACAAAAAAAGCAGUGAACAUAGCUGUGACCUGCCUUGUUGGUAGUAUCACAAUUCUUUGGGGCUCCACUUUAAGAAAUUGAGACCUACCUACCUUAAUCCUUGGGGGGUUAAGCUUUCAGACUGGAAUGAUAACUGAACUAUUCAUUUGCAGUAAUUCUGGGUUUUGUGCGUAUUUUAAAAAGGAAUACCGGGCUUGCCUAUAUUCAUUACAACGUCCUCCCAGCUUUCAAAUCUUCCAAUACAAUGCCUCUUCUCUAGUCUUUUAAGCACAUCCUGUGACUGGAUAUGAUUAUGGGAGAUUUACAUGCAUCCUUGUCUAUUGUAUCAAAAGAUCAGGAAAUAAAAUGCCCAUCAUUAAAACCCCAAAGUGAUUGGAUUGGCAUGAGGAAUGGGGAUGGGGCUGGCAUGGAAGAGAGGGUUCUGACUCUGAGAUUUCAUGAAAUGCAAAACAAUAGGACAGCUGCUCUUCCAUAAACAGAUUAUUAUUAUUAUUUCUACCUAGACAGCUUGAUAGCAGCCAUUAUCUUCUUUCUGGGUGUCUUAUCAAGUUCCGGCUGUGUGCAGCAUGGGUGAUAAGGAAAGAGAAAUGUCACCCAUGGGAUUGCCAAGGAUUAUUUCUAUGCACUGCUGUUCAGCAACAGCCAGUCUCUCAGAACUGAGAAGUAGUCCUAUUGUUCACGCUGGGCAGUUGCUAUUCUGACUAUCCCAAGAGAGCAGAAAAGGGAUGUAGUUGCCAUUGUGCAAAAGAUUGAUAUUUCAUUACUCUCAGCUAAAGUUCAAGCAGUCUUGAUUUUGAAAAGCAGAAUCAUCAUGAAAUAUCUUUGAAGAGAGAAAAGACAAGGGAAGAAAAGAAGAAUGAAAUGAGUUCAGAGCUUUUUAGAACUGUGAGGGAGUGCGAAAAAAGAAAGGUGUAAUACUUUCAAACAGUGGAACUUAAAAUGCCAGGCGUCUAAGCCUCAGUGAAAUUGAGCAGCAUCACAUCACCACGACUUGUGGUCCAGCUGUUUAUUGCAAAGACUCCAUCCUGCGUUACUCAUCAGAAAAUAGUUAACUUUGUAUCUGGCAUUAUUUUAAUUAAAAAGAAGUGAACUUACUAGAUUUCUGUUUGUCUGUGUUUCAUACAAGGUUCUUGAAUGAAAAUAAUCUGUUGAUAUUUAACAUUUUUCCUUUCCUUCUCAAUGAGAAAAUAAAUGUUUUAUUAUACAUGCAGAUGUGCCAGCUAAAUAUUUCAGGAAAAAAAAAUCUCUUCAUCGUUUUGUUCCAGUAUCUCAGCUUUCCAAACUUGUAUCUUCCCAGAGAAAAGACUGCAUUAGAAAAAAAUUAAAACUAAAGUGUAUGACUAACCUGUAGUGUAUUCAUAGAGUAUUCCCCCCAAAGUGUUCUGAGUGCUUUAGUCUUCUUUAUACAUGGUUUUAGGGUCAUGCUGAUGUUAUAAUGUAAGCUGCUUGGAAGUCAGCCAAGUCAAAUUUUUCCAACAUUUUAAAUCACUAUUCUGAAACUGGAAUUUCAAAUGAAUAAAAUGCUUUGCUCUUAAACCAACGACUUCAGAAAUGAGAUCCUAGUCAGGAAUUAUUACAAUGGGAAGUGAGAGGAG